rnacentral:misc_RNA from 1 species
GAUGAAGAACGUAGCGAAAUGCGAUAAGUAAUGUGAAUUGCAGAAUUCAGUGAAUCAUCGAAUCUUUGAACGCACAUUGCGCCCGCCAGUAUUCUGGCGGGCAUGCCUGUUCGAGCGUCAUUACAACCCUCAGGCCCCCGGGCCUGGCGUUGGGGAUCGGCGGAGCCCCCCGUGGGCACACGCCGUCCCCCAAAUACAGUGGCGGUCCCGCCGCAGCUUCCAUCGCGUAGUAGCUAACACCUCGCGACUGGAGAGCGGCGCGGCCACGCCGUAAAACGCCCAACUCUUCUGAAGUUGACCUCGAAUCAGGUAGGAAUACCCGCUGAACUUAAGCAUAUCAAUAAGCGGAGGA